GAUGAACGCUGACAGAAUGCUUAACACAUGCAAGUCUUUGGCGAAGCUGUGCUUGCACAGCCUAGCCAAGUCGGACGGGUGAGUAACGCGUAAGGAACUUGCCCUGCAGUCAGGGAUAACAGACGGAAACGACGGAUAAGACCUGGUAAAGUCAGGCGGACUCAUGUCCAGCCUGAUGAAAAGAGAUGCUGCAGGAGAGCCUUGCGUCCUAUUAGCUUGUUGGUGGGGUAACGGCCCACCAAGGCGAUGAUAGGUAGCCGGCCUGAGAGGGUGGACGGCCACAAGUGGAACGAGAUGCGGCACUUACUACUACGGGAGGAAGCAGUGGAGCCUAUUGGACCAUGGCGGCAACACUGAUGAAGCCAUUCUGUGUGCACGAUGCAGGUUUUCGGAUUGUAAAGCGGUUUCAGCAGGGAAGAAAAAAAUGACGGUACCUGAAGAAGAAGCGACGGCUAACUACGUG
rnacentral:rRNA from 1 species